UUUUUUUUAAAAAAAUAGAUUUAAAAUUUUGACAUUAUUUCAAAAUUUUGAUAUAAAUUUUUAAUAUUUAAAGUUUAAUUUGAAUUUAAAUUAAUAUAUUAUAAAGAUAAUAUUAAUAUAUUAAUUUGAUUACGUUUCUUAUAUACACCUGAACCAAACACCGACAAUGGGAAUGAUUUAUUCCGAUUCCAAUUCAGGUGAUGAACCAAACAGAAUUAGAUAAUGAGUCAUUCCGAUUCCGAUUCCAGCUUAUUUUGAUUCCGAUUCCGAUUCCGACUCCAACUUCGAACCAAACACGCCCAUAGUAUUUUAGUUAAUUAAUAAUAUAAUUAUUAAUUUUAAAAGGCUAAAUUACAGAAAGUUUUUAUGUCAAUACCCAUUUUUUUACUUUUUUCUGUUAUUUAAAAACCUACACUUUACCUCCUUCAAAAAUAAGAAAUAUUCACAGGGGUACACCAUGACAAAAUGACCAAAAUGUCCCUCACUAUCUUCGUCUUCUUCCCAACCUCACUCGGCCGUCGCCCCUCCUCUACCGUUCUUCGCGUCUCGCUCAACCGCAAUUCCAACUCCAUUUUCCUCCACAUGCUCUCUCGCUCUUCCUGCACUCGCGUCAUCCCUCCAUUUCGGCGACGAUAGGGAGGAGAUCGGAGUGGGCAUGGACGGAGAGGCGUGCGAGGGCAUGGGCGAGACGGCGAAGGAACACGAGAGCAUGUGUGUUGACGCGAAUGGAGGGGUGGGCGAGGCGACAGUGUAGGGCGAGGCGGCGGUGUAGGGCAGCGAUGAGGAGGCGGCAGGGAGAAAAGGGUAUUUUGGGUAUAAAAAAUAUAUAAUAAUAGGAUAUAAAUGAAACCCAAACGGAAUACUAACGGCGGGGGGCCAAAGUGAACAUUUCUUAUUUUUCAAGCGGGGCAAAGUGUAGGUUUUUAAAUCAGGGGAAAAAAGUGAAAAAGCGGGUAUUGACAAGAAAUUUUCUGUAAUUUAGCCAUUUUAAAAUUAAAAAAUUAUAAUAAAAAAUUUAUAAAGUACUCUUAUAAAUAUUAUAAAAAUAACUUUUUUAUUCAUAUUUUCUUAAUUUUUAGCAUUUAAAGAGUUAAAUUAUUUUAAUAAUUUUAUUUAAGAAUUCAAUCAAACUUAAUAAUUUUUGUCACUAUUUUAUAAAUAAUUUUUUUAACUAAAAUGUUAAAGUUUGAGGAUUUAAUAAAUUUUUUAAGUAAAAUGUUAAAAUUGAAGGACUUAUUUCAAAUUAUCGAAAAAAGUGAGGUGACUUNUGACAUCUCCAUAUCGGAUGGGAAUGAUGUUGUCAUUGGAUUUAUAAGAGGACUCCACCCUAAUAAUAGCUGUGUUUAAGCAUUUUGGGCCGGUAGUUGGGCCCAACGAGUUAUUGCUAGUGGGUUGGGUCGUUGUAGGCUCAUGGUGAAGCCAUAUCU
rnacentral:lncRNA from 1 species